CCGAGAAUAUUCGACAAUGGGCGAAAGCCUGAUCGAGCGAUACCGCGUGGUGGAUGAAGCGCUUCGGCGCGUAAACAUCUUUUAUGAGGGAGGAAGUUAUUGACGUUACCUCAUGAAUAAGGGGCUCCUAACUCUGUGCCAGCAGGAGCGGUAAUACAGAGGCCCCAAGCGUUACCCGGAAUUACUGGGCGUAAAGAGUGCGUAGGUGGUCGUAUUAGUCGCGUGUUAAAACCCGGAGCUCAACUCCGGAAACGCGCGCGAAACGGCACGACUCGAGGGCGUGAGAGGUACAUGGAACUCAUGGUGUAGGGGUGAAAUCCGUUGAUAUCAUGGGGAACACCGAAAGCGAAGGCAAUGUACUGGCGCGUUCCUGACACUCAAGCACGAAAGCGUGGGUAGCGAACGGGAUUAGAUACCCCCGUAGUCC
rnacentral:rRNA from 1 species